GCAAAGCUCAGUGCUAGAAUAUCUGCUUUGCAUGCAGAAGGUCCCAGGUUUCAAUCCCUAGCUGCUGCC